rnacentral:rRNA from 1 species
GACGAACGCUGGCGGCGUGCUUAACACAUGCAAGUCGAACGAAGUGGCGAACGGGUGAGUAACGCGUAAUCAACCUCCCCUUCAGAGGGGGACAACAGUUGGAAACGACUGCUAAUACCGCAUACUGAAGGAGGUGAUUGCGUCUGAUUAGCUAGUGGGAGGGGUAACGGCCCACCAAGGCGAUGAUCAGUCGCCGGUCUGAGAGGAUGAACGGCAACAUUGGGACUGAGACACGGCCCAGACUCCUACGGGAGGCAGCAGGGGGGAAUCUUCCGCAAUGGACGGAAAGCUGACGGAGCAACGCCGCGUGAGUGAUGACGGCCUUCGGGUUGUAAAGCUCUGUUAAUCGGGACGCGGUACCGGAAUAGAAAGCAACGGCUAACUACGUGCCAGCAGCCGCGGUAAUUC